GACGAACCGUGCGAACGUUGUUCGGAUUCACUGGGCUUAAAGGGCGCGUAGGCGGGCGAUCAAGUCCGGGGUGAAAUCUUUCGGCUCAACCGGAAAAGUGCCUUGGAUACUGGUCAUCUCGAGGGAGGUAGGGGCAUGCGGAGCUUCCGGUGGAGCGGUGAAAUGCGUAGAUAUCGGAAGGAACGCCGGUGGCGAAAGCGGCGUGCUGGACCUCUUCUGACGCUGAGGCGCGAAAGCCAGGGGAGCGAACGGG
rnacentral:rRNA from 1 species